rnacentral:rRNA from 1 species
AUGGCGACGGCCAGCCUCCCCGGCUCGCCGGAGGCGGCGGCGGCGGUGCUGGAGAACGACGACCUGGUCUCCGAGAUCCUCCUCCGCCUCCCCCCACAGCCGUCCUCCCUCCCGCGCGCCUCCCGCGUCUGCAGGCGCUGGCGCCGCCUCCUCUCCGACCCCGCCUUCCGCCGCCGCUUCCGCAUUCACCACCGCCGCGGCACCCCUCCGCUCCUCGGUCUCUUCGGCUCGAGCCGGGGCGUCGUCACCUUCCAGCCAGCCCUGGACGCCCCCGACCGCCUCCCCCGCGGCCACUUCUCCCUCAACCUCGACGACGACUACAUGACCCUCGGAUGGCGCCACGGCCUCGCGCUCUUCUACCUCCCGGACUCGCUCCAGGUCGUCGUCUGGGACCCCCUCGCCGGCGCCCAGCACCGCCUCGACAUUCCCGAGGGGUUCGUGCUCGACCCGUCGGAGGACCCAGUCAACGGGGCGGUGCUUCGCGCCGCCGGGGACAUCGACCACUUCCAGGUGGUCCUGGUAACCAGCGACGGGAGACGACCAGCACUUGCCUGCGUUUACUCGUCGGAGACUGGGUUAUGGGGUGAUUUCAUCUCCGCGCAGCUCCAAUCCGCGACCAUGGUCCAUUGGGGCGAGCCCUCUGUGCUGGCUGGGGGUUGCAUUUACUGGUUGAUUUCUGUGACGAGUAUCCUCGAGUUUGAUUUGGAUAGCCAGAGCCUAGCUGUGAUAUUGGUGCCAGCGGACAUGCUUACCGGCAGGAGUCACCAGUCCACGGUUAUGCGAGCAGAGGGUGGUGGGAUGGGUUUCCUCAACGUGGCAGACUUCACUGCCGAAUUUUGGAGGAGGGAGACAGACUGUGAUGGUUCAUGGAUGCUUGGAGGAACUGUUGAAUUGGACAAGUUACUUCCCCCAGGUUCAGAUAACGAAGCCCUGCGUAUGUUAGGUUAUGCGGAGGAAAACAAUGUGGUGUUCUUCUGGACAGUUGUUGGUGUCUUCAUGUUCAACCUUCAGUCAUUGGAGCCCACGAGACUUUCUGAGAUUGGCAUCUCUGGUUAUGGUUAUCAUCCAUUCGAAACCGUCUAUACUCCAGGCAUUGGUGGUGGACAAGAGGGAACUGACAAGAGGCGCUCGUGGUGGAAACGAUGUAGGCAACACAUAAGAGGAUUAUUCAGUUGCGCUCGUGGUGGAAACGAUGGAGAUAACAAAUAA